UUUAGGUGGAAUGUUCUUUACUCAAAGAACGUUUACUUUUUCUCACUUUUUGUAGGAGGUCAGCGAAAAAAACAAAGAACGUCGUGGGAAGCAGACAAUGAUGCAUACUACAAGGACAAAAAGCUUUGCACGUGUUUCUGCUGAGAUUGAGGAAAAAGAAGGUAUUUAGCUUUCUCGUGCAGAUUUAUUCAUUCGCACACAUAUAAAUAAGGAUGACAAUGCUACUGAUGCUACUUUGGAGAUGAUUGUAAGUUUUCAUGCUUCCAUUUUGUAAAAAGGGGGUCAUGUGCCUUGAAGUGACCAAUUUUUAAACUCUUUGCGGUGUAGUAGGGGGUCACAUGCCUUGAAGUGACCAAUUUUUAAAUCAUCAGCCCAUGUGGAGGCAUUUUAAUUUCAUUGUUUAUCAUCGGCCCAUGUGGAAGCAAUUUACUUUCUUGUAUUUGUUGAAAAGCAUGGGAGUAUGGGAUCAAUGUAUGUAGAGGCUUCUUGUUGAUUGAUUUGUGUUGCGGAGGAGAAGUAUUUGCUAUUUGUUGUUUGUUGUUUGUAUUAAUUUCUUACUCAUACCAGUGCAAUAGUCUUUUGAAUGUAGGCAACUUCAAAUAGUAGGAAUAAGGCUUUGUUGAGUUAAGCUGAAUAAGAGUUUUUGGUUAUGCAACAUAUUCUUAUGUUUUGCACAAAAGAGGCAGUUAUUAUUCACAUCUGGCUUUCUCCACUUCCCAUUCAACUGUUAUGUGUGUCUACAACCCAAUAUAUCACUGCUUUGAAUCAAUCACACUUUGUCUUGGAACCCAUUCUAGCCCUUGUUAUUCCAUUAAUUAAUCUUGAAACCCUUUUCUUUCUCUCUUCAGUUAUGAAAUUUCAUCUCAAGGAUCUAAAUCAGCUUUUUAUUUAAGAAUUUACUUGAACUUUAGGUAGAGCAGUGAGAUUGAAAAAACAAAGCAAGUUGAAAAACGAACUUAGUAAAACUGACCGGAACUAAAGAUUUAGCAGAUUUGAGAGGUGACUUGCCCAGAGAAUACUUGUAUCACUUUACAAACUUUGUUCUCUCAGUUGUGAGGAAACAGGUAUUACAAUUUUGUGUGACACACAACUAUAUAUUUAGAAAUAUGUAGUUAAAAAAAAUUCUCUAGCAAAAACUAAUGUAACCUUGCUAUAUGGAACAAGAGCUUUGUAUCAGGUGUCUUCAGGCCUUAAGAGUCAUUGAAUGGUAGAAAUCAUAUAUAGGAACACAUUCAAAUUAAAAUGUACAGAGACUUGGAAUCUUAGUAACUUUCAUUCAUAUGACCCCUUCAUAUUUAAGUACAGGGUGGUAGAACAUCAUUGUUUAUAAUAACUUGGACCAUAGUCAGCACAUUACAUGAUUUGGUUCCAAAUGUCCGAGUGUCAGCUGUACGUAAGGUGUGGCUCAGCUGAAAUCCUUAUGCAAGGUGUGCCCUUCGGCCUUCUGAACAGUUGCACCUUGUGCUCGAACCUGUUUAUAUCUUGAUUAUUAUUCCUCUAUGAUCCAGGGUAACUACAAAAUGUUGUACUUUAUGCUUACAUUUCCUCAUUCUCCUUGUAUCAUUAUGUUGUUUCAUUCCAUUAUGCCCAUGUUUUGAAACUCAAGGAAAGCCAUGUUAUGAGUGUCUCACCAACAUUGUUCUUUCCAAGUGACUAUACUGAGACCAUACUGAGGAGAGACCAGGAGGCAAGGGAAAGUGAUCAAUUAUUUUAUUUUAUUUUAUUUUAUAUUUGCACUGAAGACUUACCCUAGUUUGAGUGGUUCUUUUCUCUUCCCCCUUCUGUCCCCAAAAAUCCUUGUCAGCCCGCGCCCACGAUUGGACAAGUAGCUAGAUUUAUGUUGCCUAAAUCCUUAGUCUUGUAAAAAUAGAGUAAUUAACUUUGGACUUUAACCUUUUAUAUAGCUAGAAAAUCUCAAUUUCUUGCAUUUGGACUAGAAAUUUAAAAAAUUGAGUCCAUUUUUCACCGCUGCUCUUUCACAUUACUCCAGAAUCUCCCUCCAUUCUAAAAGUUAGGUAUACUACCCAAAUUUCAUUUAUGGAAACUUGAUACAGCUGAACAAUUUGACAUAAUCUUUGAUUUACUUAGUUACCUGGAGCUGAAACUAGAUUAAAAAGCAAAGAGCCAAAAAAAAAAAAAAAAAAAAAAAAAAAAAGGAAAAAAGAAGAAAAGGAAAUCAAUGUUUUCGGAUUGUUGCAGUUUUGUUGUUAAUACUUAUUUCAACAAUUUUAAUGUUGUACGAACCUACUUGUGUAACUAAAUCAAUAAUGAAAUAUUUGAAAUAUCUAUAUUUUCUAGCUGAUAUAGUUAAUUUAUUUUACAAUUACAAAUGUUGGAUAUGAAGCAUUUUGUUUAAUUUAUUUUCUAUACAUUCAUUAUUAUUAUUAUUAUUAUUAUUAUUAUUUUUGCAGGAAAACAUAAAAGAUCUUCAAAAAAGUUACUCUGACUUGCCUAUUGGCAGUUCUAAUGAUUUGUUCUCUAUUGUGAGGGGAGAAGAGAGAACUGGUCAUGCGGGGAUGCUUGGCUUGGGGCUUAUGCCAAGUGAUGUUUGGGGGCCUUUCUUGGUAAAGCUGAACUGAUUAAUAAUGUCAAAAAAUCUGAUGAGGAGGCAUGUGCUGCACGUGUAGAGUUGCAGGAGACCAUUUCAAAAAUGCAAGCCAACUAUGACAAGAAGUUGGAAAAUUUACGAGCCAACUAUGACGACAAGUUGGAAAAUUUACAACAACAGGUGGCUAUGCUAAUGUAGAUGCAAUAGCAAAAUUGUAGUGGACAUGUAUAUUUAUUAUUAGUUUUACUCUUUACGAAAUAUAUGUUUACUUAUGCCAAUAUUUCAUGUAUUUUGUUUUGUUAUUUUGAAGGGUUUUGAUUCUUUAAAUGCUCCUCCUAGAGUAUUCCCAAAUUCAUUUUUUAGUCAUGAUGCCAAUUUAGUUAAAGUUAUGAACUUUUAAUUUCUCUUAUAUAUUAAAUUUCCAUUUAUUAUAAUGUGCGCUUAAUGAAUUUAUAAAAAAUGUAAGGUAAUUCAAAUCAAAUGGGCAAGAAGACUUGUUGAAGUUGAAGUUGAAGCUGAAGAUGGGGUCGUGGCUAUGCUUUCUGAAUUUCCUUUGCCUUGGUUCUUUUUGAAAAACUUGUACUACAUUUGUCAAAAAUUCUUUUUUUUUUUUUUUGUGACAUUUAAUAGCUUUAUCUAGACAAUUUGGAUGGUAUUUUCAUAUUGGCAGGUUAACUUGUGGUUGUAUUAGUAUACA